AUUGAACGCUGGCGGCAUGCCUUACACAUGCAAGUCGAACGGCAGCACGGGAGCUUGCUCCUGGUGGCGAGUGGCGAACGGGUGAGUAAUAUAUCGGAACGUACCCUAGAGUGGGGAUAACGCAGCGAAAGUUGCGCUAAUACCGCAUACGAUCUACGGAUGAAAGUGGGGGAUCGCAAGACCUCAUGCUCAUGGAGCGGCCGAUAUCUGAUUAGCUAGUUGGUGGGGUAAAGGCCUACCAAGGCUUCGAUCAGUAGCUGGUCUGAGAGGACGACCAGCCACACUGGAACUGAGACACGGUCCAGACUCCUACGGGAGGCAGCAGUGGGGGAAUUUUUGGACAAUGGGCGAAAGCCUGAUCCAGCAAUGCCGCGUGAGUGAAGAAGGCCUCGGUGUAAG
rnacentral:rRNA from 1 species